rnacentral:rRNA from 1 species
AUGGAGUCGAAUGAUGCAACUUUCUUUGAGGACAUAUUUCCUAUGAAGGAUAUGUCGAGUUCAUCAAAUCAGGAGAUACCUACUCCAUCUAGUGAGGAAUUCACUGUAAUUCCUGAACCCACCAUUGCGAUGGAACACGUUGAGAAUCCUGUUGAGGGUGACAAUGAAACUCUUGUGAGGAGUAAGAGACAGAGGACUGCAAAGUCCUUUGGUGAUGAUUUCAUUGUGUACCUCGUGGAUGACACACCCAGGACUAUUUCAGAAGCCUAUGCAUCUCCUGAUGCUGACUACUGGAAGGAAGUUGUACGUAGCGAGAUGGAUUCCAUCUUAGCUAAUGGUACCUGGGAGAUCACUGACCGUCCUUAUGGGUGCAAACUUGUAAGAUGUAAGUGGGUGUUCAAGAAGAAGCUUAGACCUAAUGAUACGAUUGAAAAGUACAAGGCGCGGCUUGUGGCCAAGGGUUAUACCCAGAAAGAAGGUGAAGACUUCUUUGAUACUUACUCACCCGUGGCUAGACUGACCACAAUUCGGGUGCUACUAUCACUGGCUGCCUCACAUGGUCUUCUCGUUCAUCAAAUGGACGUUAAUACAUGUUUCCUCAAUGGAGAGUUGAAGGAGGAAAUUUACAUGGAUCAGCCAGAUGGUUUUGUAGUACCUGGUCAGGAAGGAAAGGUGUGCAAGUUAUUAAAGUCUUUAUAUGGCCUUAAACAAGCUCCUAAGGAGUGGCAUAAGAAGUUCGAAAGAACAUUAACUGCUGUCGGCUUUGUAGUAAAUGAUGGUGACAAGUGUGUGUACUAUCGCUAUGGUGGGGGCGAAGGAGUUAUUCUUUGUCUGUAUGUCGACGACAUACUGAUCUUUGGAACCAAACUUGAUUUAAUCAAGGAGGUUAAGGAUUUCUUAUCUCGCUGUUUUGAGAUGAAGGAUCUAGGAGUAGCUGAUGUUAUCUUAAACAUCAAGAUGUUGAGACGAGAAUGGUGGGAUCACAUUGCUUCAGACUCACUAUGUGGAAAAGGUCUUGAGUCGUUUUGGGUAUAG